rnacentral:rRNA from 1 species
UGUAGUAGAGAAUACUAAGGCGUAGAGAUAAUACUUGUAAGGAACUCGGCAAUUGUCUUCAUAAGUUAGACGAUAUGAAGAACCAUUGAGUUAUUAUUUCUUUAUUUAUUUAUAAAAAACAAGUUUCUCUUCUGUACUCACAAGGUAUAGAAUGAAAACCGAAUUUAUUAUUUUUAAUUUGAUCAAAUCAAAAAAAGAUGAGAUUUAAAGAAUAAAACUCCGGUGGUGUCACAAAAUCGGAGGCCCCGACUGUUUACUUAAAACACAGCUUUCUGCGACGAAUAAUAUCUUUGUAUAGAAAGCGAAUUUUGCCCAAUGCCAUUAAUAUAAAAUUGAUAAGCGCAUAGCGUAUUUAUUGAUUGAAGUUCUGGUCAAUGGCGGUCUUAUCUAUGAGGAUCCUAAGGUAGCAAAAUUAAUUGUCCAUUAAAUGUGGUCCUGACUGAAUAAAGUAACGAUGGUCUCACUGUCUCUACAAGUAUCUCAGUGAAAUUGAAUUAGCCGUGCAGAUGCGGUUUAACUUCGGGUAGACGGGAAGACCCUAUGCAACUUUACUGUAGCUAGUUAUAACAUUCUCACAAUCUGGAUGUAGAGUAUAAGGUAGUCGACAUGACUUAAGUGAAACACCUUAACUAGAAUUGCGUUAAUGUUUAUUCUAUUAACUUUGUGCUGUGUCCCUAAGGGAUCUGGCCUAAAGCGAUCCACAAGAAAGCUUGGCCUUAGGCACAAAGCCUGAUGUGAUAAGUAUAAGGGAUAGUAAAAUAUCUCUUAUGAUUUAUUGAUUAGGAAAGAAGAAAAUGACUAGUUGGCAGU